AAAAAGUACAAACAAAGGGCCCUCUCAGCUCUAGGUUCCUUCUCAAUAUUAAUUUGUGACAGUUUUAAAUUGUCCAGUUAAGUCCUCAAGAAUUUUAAUCCACUUUCCCCAUUCACUGCAUGCUAUACAAAGUAACAAAUGAUUAGUGUUGUCCACUGAGGGAAUUCAAAGCUGCAAAGCCCGAGUGUUAAUAAAGACUCUCAACAGGGGCGCCUUUGUUGUCAAGAUCCUUCACCAACAGAAUGCAGCUGUGUGUUGGACAUAUAAAAGUGGCUUUUAUGUUGUACUCUCAACAUAAAACACAUCUUCUUUAGCAUCAGUACUUGUCUCAGGCACUUGUACUCAAACAACCUCUUCUGAACUAAUGGUAGCACUUAGUGAAGCAGAUUGUUUGACACGCAAUGCUUUCAACGGAAAUAUGACUGAUAAAAUUGCAUUAUGUGAACGCGACUAAAGAUGCAAGAUGUUCCUUCUUUGUUUGUGUGGCUUGUCUCCAGGCAAGGACAAGUCUGAAUUUACUGGUAAAAGAAGCCGUGCUACUCAACAAGGAAGGCAGAAGUAACCUUUCGUUUGCACACCCUGCUCUACACAGCCCUGGAGGAGGUAUUGUGAGCCACCUCUUUUUUCUUUUUUUCCCCCAAGGCACAGACAGGGUGCACGAGCGGACACACAGAGCCCUCUGGCUGGUCUGUCUAAACCUCAGCCUUACUUCUCUCCAACCUCGGCUAACGACCUGCGCCCCCUCGUGCUUUGGAGUGAAUAUCAGGUGUGACUAGGAUGGUAAAAAAGCUAUUAAUGGAAAUGCCAGCCACUUGAGCAGCCUGCAAGCUGGUUUUGAGACAUCACUGCAGCUGGGGAUAAUCGACAACAGAUUUGGGGAUCUAUCACUCUGACCACUGGCCACAAGACAUUUGCAGUUAAGUCUAAAAAUGCAUAACUCAUAUCUAAAAGAAAUGUUUUGAAAGCUUCG
rnacentral:lncRNA from 1 species